rnacentral:other from 1 species
GCGUUGCUGCCGUGUACGAGAACAGCCGGGAUCCUCUCGACCCUAAAUUUUCACAUCGGGGCUGUGAUCUGUCGAAGCUAUUGUGCAUAUCCGCAAGACGGGGAGCCUACGGCUUCACGGCUAGCCCCACUUAUUGCUCUGGCUCGAGAGCAAUGGCUGAAUACGGCACAGGUGGUGACGCC